rnacentral:lncRNA from 1 species
UCUUCUUCUUCACCCCGCCCCACCGCCACCGGAAGAGGAAGGCCCAAAUUAAUGCUGCCUCCGCCUCUACCCACCGCCGGAGGAGUAAGCCCCAAAUUAUCCUAGAUAGCCAAAAACCUUGCUGAUAAACCUUGGACCGGAAUCUGAAAAAGCCAGUGUCAUUUUCCUAGUCAUUUAAUAAACCUUGCUUCUAUUGUCAAAUCCCAAUUCCCAACUCAGCCAAGAAACCUCAAUACUCUCCUCUCCUCUGUCUCGCCUAAUAUCAACACCAAUGGAAAUUUGAUUCACUAACCCAUCUGUUUUCUUGCUUUUUCCAUACGCUAGUAAAUACCAGUCGUACAAAAAUGGAGUCAAGGGUUCAUGGUGUCCCUCUUUCCACUACACAAAUGGCGCCAAAGGUCCCUGUUUCCAGUUCAUUAUCAGGUAUUAGAGCUCCCCUUACAAUGGAUGAUUCUGACUUUGAAUAUUCUGUUUCAGCCAAAAGUCAUAAAAAUAGUUCUGUUAGUAGUUAUAGUAGUGGGAGUGAGUCGGAGUAUGAGGACUUUGUGAGUGGUGAAGAUGAGUUUGAAAGUGCAUCUGAGAGGC